rnacentral:lncRNA from 1 species
GCAGAAGCGGGUAAUGAGGAAGGGAGGCUCCUUUGCACUGGGCCUGGGCUGAGGACACAGCCAGUGUUAGCCCAAGAGGAGCCAGCCCACUGUCUGGUGGCUUCAGCUUCACUCUAUCUUAGUUCAGGUUCUCCUGAAGCAGAGCCCGAGACUACUCUUUUGAGAAGUGACCCCAGGAAGCUGGAGCAAAGAAGCAGGAAGGGAAAGGCAGGGAAGGAGAAAAGCCAAUACAUGGAGCGCUCUGGAGGUCACCGCUGUAGGAUCGAGAAGGGACUACCUACCCAGCUGCAUGCCAGAUCUCCCUCCCCAGCCCUGGCCUCCCUCCAGAACUCUGGACCCAUCUGUCCAGUCAUCAUCCAGACCUUUCCAUAGAACGUCCUCCUACCCCGACACAGUAUCCCAGAGACUCCACUCAUCCCAGGCAGAACAUAUCUUCUGUUCCCUGAAACUGGCCCUCCUCUGGGAUCCCACCCUUUCAAGAACUUCAGCCAGAGAACGGGUGAGGUGGCUCACACCUGUAAUCCCAGCACCCUGGGAGGCCGAGGUGGGAGGGUUGUUUGAGCAAGCGAGGUUGAGGCUGCAGUGAGCCAUGACUACUGCACUCCAGCCUGGACAACAGAGGGAGACCCUAUCUAAAAAAAAAACAAAAAAGAACUUCCACCAGAAACCUGGCAUCCCUGGCCUCCCUCCUCCACUCCAACUAUCCCCUCCUUUCAUCCCCUCCCUGGUACUCAGGUGGGGCCUGGCUCAUCCAGAUCCCAGCUGUGCCCCUCCCUAAUUCAUCCUAUAACAGUCCUUGUGGCCAAGCUCAGUGGUCAAGCCUGUAAUCCCAGCACUGUGGGAGGCUGAGGUGGGUCAAUCACUUGAGGUCAGGAGUUCGAGACCAGCAUGGCCAACAUGGCGAAACCCCGUCUCUACCAAAAAUACAAGAAAAUGAGCCAGGCGUGGUGGUGUGCACCUGUAAUCCCAGCUACUCAGGAGGCUGAGGCAGGAGAAUCGCUUGAACCCAGGAGGCGGAGGCUGCAGUG